rnacentral:misc_RNA from 1 species
UGGGGGAAAAUUAUAAUCACCAUUCAUGUGUCUCUUUAUAAAACAGAAUACAAUUGAUGAAUGCUAAUUACAGCGGUUUUAAAGUCAUUGGGAAGUGACUUGUAAAUUAAUCAUCAAUGUUUUGGGAGACUGCCUGCUGAAGACUUUGGAAAGUCUUGUGAUAAUUCAAGAAACCCAUAAACCAGAAUUCAAACCAUCCACAGUAACUAUUU